rnacentral:rRNA from 1 species
CACGGAGUUAGCCGAUCCUUAUUCCUUCGGUACAUUCAGCUACUUACACGUAAGUAGGUUUAUUCCCGAAUAAAAGCAGUUUACAGCCCAGAGGGCCGUCUUCCUGCACGCGGCAUGGCUGGUUCAGGGUUGCCCCCAUUGACCAAUAUUCCUUACUGCUGCCUCCCGUAGGAGUCUGGUCCGUGUCUCAGUACCAGUGUGGGGGGUCAUCCUCUCAGAUCCCCUAGCCAUCGUCGCCUUGGUGGGCCGUUACCCCGCCAACUAGCUAAUGGCACGCAUGCCCAUCCUUCUCCCAUAAAUGUUUGACCUCUCCAUGAUGCCAUGGCGUGGUCUUAUGCGGUAUUAAUCCGAAUUUCUUCGGGCUAUCCCCCAGAAAAGGGUAGGUUGCAUACGCGUUACGCACCCGUGCGCCGGUCUCCAGGUAGCAAGCUACCCAUACCCCUCGACUUGCAUGUAUUAGGCCUGCCGCUAGCGUUCAUCCUGAGCCAGGAUCAAACUC